AAGUCGUAACAAGGUUUCCGUAGGUGAACCUGCGGAAGGAUCAUUACAAAUCCAACCUGGAGGUGUGUAGCCAGUUUCCAACGCGUUCUGCGCGGAUGGGGCUGCUGCUACACCUCCUUUCACCACGUUGAAGUGUACCAGUCAGGAGUGCCAGUAGGGGCGGCGCCUCUGCAUUGCGUGUGACCGACGUAUCACACGUGCACGUGCAGGAAGGUCGUCCCCCGAAAACACAUGCCUGACUGUCCUUUUAUACGUUCACUCAGUUGCGCAGUAGUGGUGUUCCUCUUGCGAGAGAGGCACACACGACACACAACACACACAACCUAGUACAACUUAUAACAAUGGAUCUCUAGGCUCUU
rnacentral:misc_RNA from 1 species